AUUGAACGCUGGCGGCAGGCUUAACACAUGCAAGUCGAGCGGUAGCACAAGAGAGCUUGCUCUCUGGGUGACGAGCGGCGGACGGGUGAGUAAUGCCUAGGAAUCUGCCUGGUAGUGGGGGACAACGUUUCGAAAGGAACGCUAAUACCGCAUACGUCCUACGGGAGAAAGUGGGGGAUCUUCGGACCUCACGCUAUCAGGUGAGCCUAGGUCGGAUUAGCUAGUUGGUGAGGUAAAGGCUCACCAAGGCGACGAUCCGUAACUGGUCUGAGAGGAUGAUCAGUCACACUGGAACUGAGACACGGUCCAGACUCCUACGGGAGGCAGCAGUGGGGAAUAUUGGACAAUGGGCGAAAGCCUGAUCCAGCCAUGCCGCGUGUGUGAAGAAGGUCUUCGGAUUGUAAAGCACUUUAAGUUGGGAGGAAGGGCAGUAAGUUAAUACCUUGCUGUUUU
rnacentral:rRNA from 1 species